GUCCCGUUCACGAGCGCAUGUUAUCCACAGAGAAUGAAAUAAAAGUAAAUCAAACGUAGGUACGUGGGGUUUUUUGAUUCGCUCGGGCUAGUGCACCGAUGAUCGAUGACUUGCUUCUUCGCGGGGGAGAAAAUCAGAAUCCAUCAAUUCCUCGCCGCCGAGAUCGAUCGGUGUGAUUUCGUGUGAUCAAGGGUCCACUGGCAGCUGCUACCAUUUCCACACCUUUUCUUUGGUGUGAUUUCGUUUGAUCGAUCGGUCGGGCCGCACGUGUGCCGGUGUAGAAAACGCACGUACGUGUGAUAAUACAGCGAGCAACGGGCCGGCAUAUAUCGGGCCGUACGUCUUUGUCCCAAGCACGAGGAAAUUACAACGGACGGUUGCACGUACCUAAAUGUCGUUGAUCAUGUGUGUUAUCUCGCGAAGUAUAAGUGAAAUGUUUUUUUUUUCAUGGUAUUAGAUUCAAUAGGUCUAUAGUUUAGGCUUUUUUUAUGACAUUAUAAUAAUGGAUAUUUACAUAGGGGUUUUUUACAUGGAAAAAUAAUAAAUGGAAAUGCUCGUAAUGUACUCCCUCUGUCCUUAAUUAAUUGGCGCCAGUCUUUUUGCAAAUAAACCCCUGUAAAUUUUGAAAUAAACCCGCACUCCACAUCUUCAAUUAAACGUGUACUGCGCGUUAAUUUCGGGAAUUUACAGGGGGUUUGUCGCAAUAGUUUCAAUAGAACUUGGACUACAGGUUUAUUUUGAAAAUUUACAAGAGUUUUUUUAGAAAAAAAUCCGGCACCAAUUAAUUUGGGAGGGAGGGAGUAUCUAGCUCCACGAACUCUUAGCUCUAUGUCUAACAAGCUGGAAGCAAUCCUGUAAAUGUGAAGAAGAUAUUGUCCAAAUGAUUAGUAUCAUUGUUGAAGAUGAUUUUAUUUCUGUGGUUCCAAAUACUCCAACAUCCAAUGAUGAUGGUUUCUUUGAUGCUGACAUUAUUAUCUUGAAGUUGGACUGUGUUGAUGAGCAUGUUGAUAAUAUAAGAUCUGUAUCC
rnacentral:lncRNA from 1 species